rnacentral:tRNA from 1 species
GACUGGGUGUAGCUCACUGGUAGAGCCAGUGCUUAGCAUGCACAGGACCUGGGUUCAACCCCAGCAAGACA